rnacentral:misc_RNA from 1 species
GAUGAAGAACGUAGCGAAAUGCGAUAAGUAGUGUGAAUUGCAGAAUUCAGUGAAUCAUCGAAUCUUUGAACGCACAUUGCGCCCCUUGGUAUCCCGAGGGGCAUGCCUGUUCGAGCGUCAUUUCACCACUCAAGCCUGGCUUGGUGUUGGGCGACGUCCCCUUUGGGGACGCGCCUCGAAACGCUCGGCGGCGUCGCACCGGCUUUAAGCGUAGCAGAAUCUUUCGCUUUGGAAGUCGGGGCCCCGUCUGCCGGAAGACCUACUCGCAAGGUUGACCUCGGAUCAGGCAGGGAUACCCGCUGAACUUAAGCAUAUCAAUAAGCGGAGGA